CGUAACACGUGAACAACCUGCCCCUGUGUGGGGGAUAGCCAUGCUAACGCGUGGGUAAUACCGCAUACGGUUCUCUGGAGGAGUCUCUGGGGAAAGAAAGCUUCGGCGCACGGGGAGGGGUUCGCGGCCUAUCAGCUAGUUGGCGAGGUAAUGGCUCACCAAGGCGACGACGGGUAGCUGGUCUGAGAGGAUGGCCAGCCACAUUGGGACUGAGAGACGGCCCAG
rnacentral:rRNA from 1 species